rnacentral:rRNA from 1 species
UAAUACGUAGGGUGCGAGCGUUAAUCGGAAUUACUGGGCGUAAAGCGUGCGCAGGCGGUUCGUUAAGUCUGAUGUGAAAGCCCCGGGCUCAACCUGGGAAUGGCAUUGGAAACUGGCGGGCUUGAGUGUGGCAGAGGGGGGUGGAAUUCCGCGUGUAGCAGUGAAAUGCGUAGAGAUGCGGAGGAACACCGAUGGCGAAGGCAGCCCCCUGGGCUAACACUGACGCUCAGGCACGAAAGCGUGGGGAGCAAACAGG